AAAAGGAGAAAUCCGGCAAGCGAUGGAUCCGCGUCCGAUUAGCCAGUUGGCGGGGUAAUGGCCCACCAAAGCGACGAUCGGUAGCCGGCCUGAGAGGGCGGACGGCCACAUUGGGACUGAGACACGGCCCAGACUCCUACGGGAGGCAGCAGUGGGGGAUAUUGCACAAUGGGGGAAACCCUGAUGCAGCGACGCCGCGUGGGUGAAGAAGUAUUUCGGUAUGUAAAGCCCUAUCAGCAGGGAAGAAAGAAGACGGUACCUGACUAAGAAGCCCCGGCUAACUACGUGCCAGCAGCCGCGGUAAUACGUAGGGGGCGAGCGUUAUCCGGAUUCACUGGGUGUAAAGGGAGCGUAGACGGCCGUGCAAGCCAGGAGUGAAAGCCCGGGGCCCAACCCCGGGACUGCUCUUGGAACUGUGCGGCUGGAGUGCGGGAGGGGCAGGCGGAAUUCCUGGUGUAGCGGUGAAAUGCGUAGAUAUCAGGAGGAACACCGGCGGCGAAGGCGGCCUGCUGGACCGCGACUGACGUUGAGGCUCGAAAGCGUGGGGAGCGAACAGGAUUAGAUACCCUGGUAGUCCACGCCGUAAACGAUGACUACUAGGUGUCGGGGCACGACAGUGCUUCG
rnacentral:rRNA from 1 species